GGUUAAGUUAGAAAGGGCGCACGGUGGAUGCCUUGGCACUAGGAGCCGAAGAAGGACGGGACUAACACCGAUAUGCUUUGGGGAGCUGUACGUAAGCGUUGAUCCAGAGAUUUCCGAAUGGGGGAACCCACUAUCUUUAGUCGGAUAGUAUCCUUACGUGAAUACAUAGCGUGAGGAAGGCAGACCCAGGGAACUGAAACAUCUAAGUACCUGGAGGAAGAGAAAGAAAAAUCGAUUUCCUGAGUAGCGGCGAGCGAAACGGAAAGAGCCCAAACCAAGAAGCUUGCUUCUUGGGGUUGUAGGACACUCUAUACGGAGUUACAAAAGAAAGUUAUAAAUGAAGCGGUCUGGAAAGGCCCGCCAAAGACGGUAACAGCCCGGUAGUUGAAAUGGCUUUCCCUCCAGAGUGGAUCCUGAGUACGGCGGAACACGUGAAAUUCCGUCGGAAUCCGGGAGGACCAUCUCCCAAGGCUAAAUACUCCCUAGUGACCGAUAGUGAACCAGUACCGUGAGGGAAAGGUGAAAAGCACCCCGGAAGGGGAGUGAAACAGUUCCUGAAACCGUGUGCCUACAAGUAGUUAGAGCCCGUUAAUGGGUGAUAGCGUGCCUUUUGUAGAAUGAACCGGCGAGUUACGAUUUGUUGCAAGGUUAAGCGGAAAAAGCGGAGCCGUAGCGAAAGCGAGUCUGAAUAGGGCGCAUAAGUAACAGGUCGUAGACCCGAAACCAGGUGAUCUACCCAUGUCCAGGAUGAAGGUAAGGUAAUACUUACUGGAGGUCCGAACCCACGCACGUUGAAAAGUGCGGGGAUGAGGUGUGGGUAGCGGAGAAAUUCCAAUCGAACUUGGAGAUAGCUGGUUCUCUCCGAAAUAGCUUUAGGGCUAGCCUCGAGGUAAAGAGUCAUGGAGGUAGAGCACUGUUUGGACUAGGGGCCCUUCUCGGGUUACCGAAUUCAGAUAAACUCCGAAUGCCAUGUACUUAUACUCGGGAGUCAGACUGCGAGUGAUAAGAUCCGUAGUCGAAAGGGAAACAGCCCAGACCACCAGUUAAGGUCCCCAAAUAUAUGUUAAGUGGAAAAGGAUGUGGGGUUGCUUAGACAACCAGGAUGUUGGCUUAGAAGCAGCCACCAUUGAAAGAGUGCGUAAUAGCUCACUGGUCGAGUGACCCCGCGCCGAAAAUGUACCGGGGCUAAACAUAUUACCGAAACUGUGGAUGAACCUCUUUAGAGGUUCGUGGUAGGAGAGCGUUCUAAGGGCGGUGAAGUCAGACCGGAAGGACUGGUGGAGCGCUUAGAAGUGAGAAUGCCGGUAUGAGUAGCGAAAGAAGGGUGAGAAUCCCUUCCACCGAAUAUCUAAGGUUUCCUGAGGAAGGCUCGUCCGCUCAGGGUUAGUCGGGACCUAAGCCGAGGCCGAUAGGCGUAGGCGAUGGACAACAGGUAGAGAUUCCUGUACCAGUGCUAAUUGUUUAACCGAUGGGGUGACACAGAAGGAUAGGGAAUCGCACGAAUGGAAAUGUGCGUCCAAGCAGUGAGUGUGAGAAGUAGGCAAAUCCGCUUCUCGCGAAG
rnacentral:rRNA from 1 species